rnacentral:rRNA from 1 species
CCUACGGGCGGCAGCAGUGAGGAAUAUUGGUCAAUGGACGCGAGCCUGAACCAGCCAAGUAGCGUGAAGGAUGACUGCCCUACGGGUUGUAAACUUCUUUUAUAAGGGAAUAAAGUGAGGCACGUGUGCCCUUUUGUAUGUACUUUAUGAAUAAGGAUCGGCUAACUCCGUGCCAGCAGCCGCGGUAAUACGGAGGAUCCGAGCGUUAUCCGGAUUUAUUGGGUUUAAAGGGAGCGUAGGGGGUUUGUUAAGUCAGUGGUCAAAGUUCGGGGCUCAACCCCUUCCCGCCAUUGAAACUGGCAGUCUCGAGUGGAAGAGAAGUAUGCGGAAUGCGUGGUGUAGCGGUGAAAUGCAUAGAUAUCACGCAGAACUCCGAUUGCGAAGGCAGCAUGCCGGCUUCCGACUGACGCUGAGGCACGAAAGCGUGGGUAUCGAACAGGAUUAGAUACCCUUGUAGUC